GUCGAACGGAGAACUUUCUUCGGAAUGUUCUUAGUGGCGAACGGGUGAGUAACGCGUAGGCAACCUGCCCUCUGGUUGGGGACAACAUUCCGAAAGGGAUGCUAAUACCGAAUGUGAUCCUUCUUUCGCAUGAAGGAAGGAUGAAAGAUGGCCUCUACUUGUAAGCUAUCGCCAGAAGAUGGGCCUGCGUCUGAUUAGUUAGUAGGUGGGGUAACGGCUCACCUAGGCGAUGAUCAGUAGCCGGUCUGAGAGGAUGAACGGCCACAUUGGGACUGAGACACGGCCCAAACUCCUACGGGAGGCAGCAGUGGGGAAUCUUCCGCAAUGGACGAAAGUCUGACGGAGCAACGCCGCGUGAGUGAUGAAGGUCUUCGGAUUGUAAAACUCUGUUGUCAGGGACGAAUGCACCGAUUUAUAAUACACUUUGGUGUUGACGGUACCUGACGAGGAAGCCACGGCUAACUACGUGCCAGCAGCCGCGGUAAUACGUAGGUGGCAAGCGUUGUCCGGAAUUAUUGGGCGUAAAGAGCAUGUAGGCGGGCUUUUAAAGUCCGACGUGAAAAUGCGGGGCUUAACUCCGUAUGGCGUUUGGAUACUGGGAGUCUUGAGUGC
rnacentral:rRNA from 1 species